GAUGAAGAACGUAGCGAAAUGCGAUAAGUAAUGUGAAUUGCAGAAUUCAGUGUAUCCUCGCAUCUUUGAACGCACAUUGCGCCCGCCAGUAUUCUGGCGGGCAUGCCUGUUCGAGCGUCAUUUCAACCAUCAAGCCCCCGGGCUUGUGUUGGGGACCUGCGGCUGCCGCAGGCCCUGAAAAGCAGUGGCGGGCUCGCUGUCACACCGAGCGUAGUAGAUUUUAUCUCGCUCAGGGCGUGCUGCGGGUUCCGGCCGUUAAACCACCUUCAUAACCCAAGGUUGACCUCGGAUCAGGUAGGAAGACCCGCUGAACUUAAGCAUAUCAAUAAGCGGAGGA
rnacentral:misc_RNA from 1 species